CCUACGGGUGGCAGCAGUGGGGAAUAUUGGACAAUGGGCGAAAGCCUGAUCCAGCCAUGCCGCGUGUGUGAAGAAGGCCUUCGGGUUGUAAAGCACUUUCAGUGGGGAAGAAAGCCUUGGGGCUAAUACCCUCGAGGAAGGACAUCACCCACAGAAGAAGCACCGGCUAACUCCGUGCCAGCAGCCGCGGUAAUACGGAGGGUGCGAGCGUUAAUCGGAAUUACUGGGCGUAAAGCGCGCGUAGGCGGUCUGAUAAGCCGGUUGUGAAAGCCCCGGGCUCAACCUGGGAACGGCAUCCGGAACUGUCAGGCUAGAGUGCAGGAGAGGAAGGUAGAAUUCCCGGUGGAUCGGUGAAAUGCGUAGAGAUCGGGAGGAAUACCAGUGGCGAAGGCGGCCUUCUGGACUGACACUGACGCUGAGGUGCGAAAGCGUGGGUAGCAAACAGGAUUAGAUACCCGAGUGUC
rnacentral:rRNA from 1 species